CUUCAUUUGAUUAAGCUGAUUCACACGCCUCUCUGAUGGGUACUCAGUGUGCAGUGCCUGCAAAAAGCUGAUUCCCUGGUUGUGUAUGCAGCUUAAUCUUUUAUAUAUUGCUCUAAAGGACCUAGGAAACAUCU
ensembl:snoRNA SNORA70 Small nucleolar RNA SNORA70